CUACGCUUGGGGAGCUCUGCCUGGGCUGGUGCCUCAUCUAGGGGAGGAAUGGGUAAACACGGCCAUAUAUAUAUAGAUAUAUAGAUAGCUAUAUAUAUAGUGCAUAUGUCUGGACAUAUGUGUCUAUGUGUGUGUACAUAUAUCUACGUGUAUUUAGAGAUACAUCGAAUAACGUUAUGAUCUAGAUGAAACUCUUGGCUGGCUAUGGGGAAGAUGACCUGGAAGAGGUGUACUAUGGAAUAUUCAAUGGAAUAUUGCCCAGUAAGCACUGCUUCAUUCAUAGCUGCAAAUACUGAAGAUUGAUCCUGAGUCAUCAAGAAGCCAGCUUGCUCCUGUGAACUGGUAAAGCAGAACUGUCCCACUUCAUCUCUCACCUGAGUCUUGUCAUCCCUGCCAUAUUUAAGUCAUCACUGGACAAUAGUUGUCCCAUAAGCAGAAGAAGCUGGGCAUUCAGGCAGAACAGACUAUGUAAAUGGAAUGGAGGGGGAAAGCAAUGGAAAACACUCGUUUCUAUUGUCCUGGGAAUUUCAAAGCAAAGGCCAGCUGCAAGAUACGGAUGUCUAGGACCUCAGCCGACCUCACAAAUGUCACAGUGACACAACAUGGCUUGUCAAAAACUUUACUAUCACGAUUCAUUUCUACGCCCUUCAAAAGUAUCCACCAAGAGAUUUUUCAUGGCAUGCCAUGGUGUUUAAGGAGGCUGCACCAUCAUCAAUGGCUUUAAAUGCUUUUAAAUAAACUUCAGAUGGAAGCGUUUUUAAAAUAGGAUAUAACAAAGAGAGCUAUUUUUGGGGCUAUUAGAAGUGAAAAUUCAGCCAUGAUACAUAGAAUUUAAUUUAGAGGUUUCCAUCAGAAAUACCAGACACCUUGGCAAAUGAUUAUUUUAACAUUUUUAUUGUAUUUGAAAGGCCAUGGACUUUGAUACUUCUGGAACCAUAAAUAACAAUAUCUGAUCAUGAUAUCAUACACAUUCACAAAAAUAUUGCAAUGAAAUAUCACAGAAAUACAAGUGGUAUUUGAGCAGCUACACUCUCCUCUAACAUGCCUUUAUAGUUAAGGCUGUAAUAAAACACAUUAAUAGAAACAUUUUCUCAAGUAAAUGCAGAAACUUUUAUUUUUCAGUAUACCAGCUUUAUUUAUUGUUAUAUUCCAUAUUGGUUAUUAAAUUUCAGGAAGUCUUCUCUUAACAAAAAUUGAGAUGUUAUCAUUAUAACCAAAGCAAUUCACCGGUCUGCAUCAAAUUGUAUUUAUGUUGCUGUUAUUACUACGUUGUUACAGUUGCUAUUGUUGAAAGAAAGUUCUUAAUUGUCAAUCCACAACAAUGUUACAACUCAUUGAAUUUUAUAGUUAUUAGGUUUUAGUACAUUACCAUAAUGUUCCUAUUUUAAGGAAAAUUAGACUAAGCCAUAUUGUGGUCAAACUGUGGAGACUCAUUGCAACUUACAUUUUUUUUCCAUAUACAGGGCCAUAAAUGCAGUGCUACUGUCAUGUAUGGACAGGGAAUCAGUGAAGUCCUGCACUCACCUGCAGCCCCUGUCCCUGCCUAUUGCAUAUAAGCCCGAAGUGACAGAUCCACAACCCAUGAAGACGGUCCCUUCCUAAGGGAAGUGCUGGGACGUAAAGUCAAAAUAACAAACUACAAAAACACAGUAAAGUGUCAUAAGGGGAUACAGUCAGGGAUAGCAAAGGUAUACAAACACACAAAUUAAUACAGAGGGAAACAAACAAACAGACAAAUCAGGGUGAACAAGGUCAGAACCGAGAGGACUAGAGAGAUGCCGAAUCAAUAAGCAAAGGGUUAACCUUUAAGAAAACACAAUUAAGGAAAAACAGCCAAAGUCAGAAUGCCAGAAUCCAAGAUACAAUUCAGAAAAUGCUACCUUCAGAAUUAACUUCUUUUGCAUGCAACAUAUAUUAGCACACUGCAGGUUUAAAUAAGCAGCUGACCAGGUGUGGUCACACAAGGUACGUAAUAGGCCAGAAAAGCAGAACCACAGAUAGGGCAAGGUGCAACCAUGCAACAUGAGCUAAGCCAGAAACUAGAAAAGUUUAACCCUUUGGACAAAACUGGAAUUACAGUUACUAUUGUAGAAAUAACCAACUUGUGUUUUUCAUCAGAAUGAUCAUAGUAGUACUGUAGUUGUAGUAAAUUUGUAAUCUGGAAUAUUCAUUUGUUCCACUUCAACAGAUAUAUUACUUGUAGGUUCAUAAGAAGUGUUAUGAAUUUGUGCUUUGAAGAGGAAAACUAAAUUUUAAUAAAACUUCUAAGUAGAUAAAAACAAAAGAAGACACAUCUUUACUUUACUUCGAAAACAUUUUGGCCUAAAGUGGAAGUCCAGUGUAGCUUUAGCAAAGUUGGCGUGGAGGGACACUUCAAACGCUGGGCGUUACAGUUGCUGAGGAACUCACCAAGUGAAUUCUGUGCACGAGCCCUUUUGUAAUUAUUAGGACUCGGAACAUGGUUGAGUGUUGGUACAGUUGUCUCAGCAGCUUCUCUCCAGGUCAUACUUUGCAAAAUGGGUGGAAGAGCAACACUUGCACUUUAAUAUGAUAAUUGAAAAGAAGAAGUGCACACAAUCUCAUAAAAUGAGAGUUAAAGGGGGUACUCCGCCCCUAGACAUCUUAUCCCCCUAUCCAACAUAGACAUGAAUGGAGAGGGCAUGGUGUGACGUCACAAGGGGGCAUGAAGUCACAACCACGGCCGCCCGAACCAAGUGUUCUGAACAUAAUGUUCAGAAUGCCGGGGUGCCCACACGGAGAUCGUGGGGGUCCCAGUGGCUGGAUAUCCACGAUCAGACAUCCUAUCCCCUAUCCUUUCAAUAGUGGAUAAGAUGUCUAGGGGCGGAGUACCCCUUUAAAUCUUUUUUAUUUUUGCCAGUGAAAAAAGUAGUUCAACAUAGAAGACUGGGCAACAUGGAAACUUCUUAAUUCCCAUGUGGUAUAAAAAUCACAACAUGGCUAAGCGGAGGAGAUGAGACAAGAACGCAAAGGAGCACACAUGGAUGGUGCUACUUCCUUGGUAUUAAGGAAAUCAGUUUAUGGAGCAAUAGGUUUUCUAAUCUAUUUUAUGUGUUGAAAACAUUAUACUUCACUGGCAGACCACCUUCUACAUCAGGUAAUACACAGAUUAUAUACAUUUGUAUGAUAUAAAAAUUUUACAAAAACAUCUAUGCUUUUGACGUGUAACUUUUUCCAUAUUCAAUUUAUAUUCAUAACAUUCUUUAUGGUUUGGCAGCACUGUCUUACAAUAAAUCCUAUGGAAGUUGAUGACAUGUUAUUGGCAGAGGCAUAGCUACAGGUUUUAGAAAAGAAGCAGUUGCAGGUGGACCAAAGGGACCAGAGGUUCCUCUAUUACAUUAGAAUACAUUAGUAUUAUAAACAGCAGAUGGUAGAUGGGUAACAGUGCUAAAAAUUUUGCAAUGGAUCCCAGGAAUAUUUAGUUAAAUAUCUGUAUAGAAUUUUUUUUUUUUAAAUGUAGUUACUUUAUAAUGGAAUUAUUAAUCUCUAUACAAAUAUUCCCUUUAACCUGUAAUGCUUUAAAAAAGGGAAACUUUUUAAGCAAAAUUUGUAUUUUUAAAAUUGCCCUACUCUGACCCCUUAUAACUUUCACCUUUUUUCUGUAUAUGGGGCUGUAUGAUGGCUAAUUUUUUGUGCUGUGAUCUUUAGCUUUUAUGGGUACCAAGUUUGCAAAUAUGUCACUUUGUGAUCACUUUUAUAACAUUUUUUCUGGGAUGUGAUGUGACUAAAAGCAGCAGUUUUGGACUUUUUUUUAUUUUUUAUGUUUAUACUAUUCACUGUACAGGACUGAUAGCAUUUCAUUCUAAUUUAUUCACGUGGUGAUACCAAAUGUGUUGAUUUAGUUUUUAUUGGGGGAGGGGCUUAUUCACUUUUAUUAAAACUUAUUUUUACUUUUUUUACUUUUUCGGUCCCCACAGGUGAUUAUUUAUUGCAAUCUUUUCAUUGCAAACACUGAACAGUGCUAUGCAUAGGCAAAGCACUGAUCAGUAUUAUCUGCGAUCUUUUUCCUUGGUCUGCGCUCCAGGGCACAGCAACGUACAUGUAUUUCGUGUGUCGUUGUUACGCCUAGCGCUCCGGGUCCCCGCUCCUCCCCGGAGCGCGUACGGCGCCUCUCUCUCCGCAGCGCCCCGGUCGGUCCCGCUGACCGGGAGCGCUGCACUGUCAUGGCCGUCGGGGAUGCGAUUCGCACAGCGGGACGCGCCCGCUCGCGAAUCGCAUCCCAGGUCACUUACCCGUUCCCGUCCCCUGCUGUCAUGUGCUGGCGCGCGCGGCUCCGCUCUCUAGGGCGCGCGCGCGCCAGCUCCCUGAGACUUAAAGGGCCAGUGCACCAAUGAUUGGUGCCUGGCCCAAUUAGCUUAAUUGGCUUCCACCUGGUCCCUGACUAUAUCUGACCUCCUCCCAUGCACUCCCUUGCCGGAUCUUGUUGCCUUGUGCCAGUGAAAGCGUUUUUGUGUGUCCAAAGCCAGUGUACCAGAACUUCUGCUAUCCACCCUGACUACGAACCUUGCUGCCUGCCCCGACCUUCUGCUACGUCCGACCUUGCUUCUGUCUACUCCCUUGUACCGCGCCUAUCUUCAGCAGCCAGAGAGGUUGAGCCGUUGCUAGUGGAUACGACCUGGUCACUACCGCCGCAGCAAGACCAUCCCGCUUUGCGGCGGGCUCUGGUGAAAACCAGUAGUGACUUAGAACCGGUCCACUAGCACGGUCCACGCCAAUCCCUCUCUGGCACAGAGGAUCCACCUCCUGCCAGCCGGCAUCGUGACAGUAGAUCCGGCCAUGGAUCCCGCUGAGGUUCCCCUGCCUUAUAUCUCUGAUCUCACCACGGUGGUCGCCCAGCAAUCCCGACAGAUCGCCCAUCUAACCCACCAGCUGUCGGAAGUGUCCACCAUUGUGCACCAACUUCAGUCGCAACUUCAGCAGCAACCAUCUCCUCCGCCAGCUCCUGCACCCCUUCCGCAGCGAGUGGCCACUCCUAGCCUCCGCCUGUCCUUGCUGGACAAAUUUAAUGGGGACUCUAAGUUUUGCCGUGACCCUGUGGUUCCUCCUCUAUCCGGUCUCCCUAAGGUCGUUAUGGACUCUGCCCGCCUUAAGAAGUGCCUCUCCCCCCCUCCCAGUCCAGUCAGGCAAGCCUCGAUGCCUCCUCGUGGCCCUCGUCCUGGUGUCACACUGCCCCGUGCCAGGCCUCGCCCUCUGCCCUCCCUCCCCAUUCCCACUCCUGCUGUACUGCCUGCCGUUGAGGAAUCCCUCCAUCCUUUCCCGGUGUCCUCAUCCCAGGGGGGGCAGUUACCGGACAAAGAGAAGGGGAGACCUAAGGGGGGGGGUACUGUUACGCCUAGCGCUCCGGGUCCCCGCUCCUCCCCGGAGCGCGUACGGUGCCUCUCUCUCCGCAGCGCCCCGGUCGGUCCCGCUGACCGGGAGCGCUGCACUGUCAUGGCCGUCGGGGAUGCGAUUCGCACAGCGGGACGCGCCCGCUCGCGAAUCUCAUCCCAGGUCACUUACCCGUUCCCGUCCCCUGCUGUCAUGUGCUGGCGCGCGCGGCUCCGCUCUCUAGGGCGCGCGCGCGCCAGCUCCCUGAGACUUAAAGGGCCAGUGCACCAAUGAUUGGUGCCUGGCCCAAUUAGCUUAAUUGGCUUCCACCUGGUCCCUGACUAUAUCUGACCUCCUCCCAUGCACUCCCUUGCCGGAUCUUGUUGCCUUGUGCCAGUGAAAGCGUUUUUGUGUGUCCAAAGCCAGUGUACCAGAACUUCUGCUAUCCACCCUGACUACGAACCUUGCUGCCUGCCCCGACCUUCUGCUACGUCCGACCUUGCUUCUGUCUACUCCCUUGUACCACGCCUAUCUUCAGCAGCCAGAGAGGUUGAGCCGUUGCUAGUGGAUACGACCUGGUCACUACCGCCGCAGCAAGACCAUCCCGCUUUGCGGCGGGCUCUGGUGAAAACCAGUAGUGACUUAGAACCGGUCCACUAGCACGGUCCACGCCAAUCCCUCUCUGGCACAGAGGAUCCACCUCCUGCCAGCCGGCAUCGUGACAGUCGUCUUGUGAUUAAAGAAACUUGCUCCAGGUGCAUAAGCUUAAAAAGGAUUUUGUAACAUACAUUUUUAUAAGGAGAAGCAGAAUUUAAUGUACACUUGAAUGCCUGAAAUGAUUUUCAUUUUUAUCCCUGAAGGAGUCUCUUUUCCUUUUCAUGUCUAUUGAAAUUGACUGUCACAUGACAAUUAGUUGUAGAAACAAUAAAUAACUCAUUUAUUCUUAAUUCGAUAACAAAAAAAUUUACGUGAACUAUGAAACAGCAUUUACACCAUUCAGUCAUAACAUUAAAACCAGUGACAGAUGAAAUGAAUAACAUUGAUUAUCUGGUGACAAUGGCGCCUGUCAAGGGGUGAGAUAAACUAGACAGCAGGUGAACAGUCAGUCCCUAAAGUGGAUGUGUUGGAAGCUGAGACAAUUGGCAAUUCCUAGGAUCUGUGCAAUUUUGACAACUGAGUCUGUUAUAAAUUGGCAGUUGUAUAUUUAGUAUUCUUGUUAUACAAUAAUUAAUAUGUUCCAAAAAUGACCCAACCAAGACAGGUGAAGUGGCAAAAGCACCAGGGCUAUACUUUCUAAUUUGUAUAGUUUCUGUCAUGUUUUACUACUUUUUAGAACUUUUUUUAUUUUUAAAUUGCCAUUUUCUGAUCCCUAGAACUUUUUUUUAUUAUUUUUCUGUGUACUGUUCUGUAUACUGUAUAUAAUGGCUCAUUUUUGUGCCCUGAUCUGUAGUUUUUAUUGUUAUUCUGAUCGCUUAUUACUCCAUUUUUUCUUGGAUGUGUUAUGAUCAAGAAACGCUAUUCUGGGGUUUAAUAUUUACCAUGUGAGAUAAAUAAUGUAAUAUUGUAAUACAUUCAAACAAUUCCACAUGCACCGAUACCAAAUAUGUUUAUUUUUAUUUUAUUUACUUAUUUUUUAUAUGAAAAAUGGGAAAAGGGGGGGGGGUGAUUUAAACUUUAAGUAUGGAAUGGGUUAAUGUUAAAAUAUGUGCAAAAUCUUUAUUUCAGUAUAAAUCUUUAUAAACCAACUAUUAUAAACCGUUUUUUUUACACUUUUUAGUUAUUUGAUUCCUCAUACAGAUCAUUGCAGUUCAACGGAACUUUACUAAUCUAUAUAAUCUGCAUUCUAUUGCUGGAGUCUGCUUCAGACAGAAGAGCCACAGAAGGCAGCCAUGGAAGGCAAGGUAAGCCCUCCGGCUGCAAGAGCAGUCGAUUGUGGAGGCUCUGGCUCCUACCAUUUCUCUUGAUCAUCUUUGAGAUGUUUCUGCACCUUGAUUGGAGUCACCUGUGGUAAAUUCAGCUGACUGGGCAUAAUUUGGAAAGACACACCACUGUCUAUAUACGGUCUCAGAGCUGCAUAUCAGAGCAGAAACCAAGCCAUAAGGUAGAAAGAACUGCCUGGAGAGCUCAAAGAUAUGAGGAGCUGCUGCACUGAAAGGUCCAUAAUUCAUAAAUGGAAGGCAUUUGGAACAACCAGGACUUUUCCUACAGUUGGGCAACUCUCUAAGCUAAGAAAUCAGGGGCGAAAGGCCUUGAUAAAAGAAGUGACCAAAACCCAAUGGCCACUCUUGCCAAGCUUCAAAGAUCCUGUGUGCAGAUGGGAGAAAGUUCUAGAACGUCACUGCACUACCCAUCAGUCUAGACUUUAUGGCAAGGCAAUAUUUUAGUAUUUCAUUUAAUUAGCAAAGAUUUCUGACAUUCUGGGGGAGAUUUAUCAAAACCUGAACAGAGGAAAAGUUGCUGAGUUGCCCAUAGCAGAUCGCUUCUUUCAUUUUUCAGAGGCAAUCUGGUUGGCUGCUAUGGGCAACUCCCCCUCUGUCGUGACAUUUAAACCUGAAUGCUUUUAGUUUUAAAGGGGUAUUCCAGGAAAAAACAUUUUAUCCCCUAUCCAAAGGAUAGGGGAUAAGAUGUCUGAUCACGGGGGCCCGCUGCUCGGACCCCCCGCAAUCUCCCUGCAGCACCCGCAUUCUAUGCAGGAUCUGCGUCUCCAGUUUUGGAAACCUCCGGGUUUCCGGGACUGGGGACGUGACGUCACGCCACGCCCCUUCCAUUCAUGUCUAUGGGAGGGGGCGUGCUGGCCCGGAGUUUUCUGAAACCGGAGACGCAGCUCCCGCAUGGAAUGUGGGUGCUGCAGGAGAGAUUGUGGGGGGUCCCAGCAGCGGGCCCCCCGUGAUCAGACAUCUUAUCCCAUAUCCUUUGGAAAAAAUGUUUUUGCCCGGAAUACCCCUUUAACACAAGGCCAGCCCACAACAAAACAAAAUGUUAAAAAAGUGAGUCUGGAUAUAUUUCGAAAUGUAUUGCAUGUUUAUUAAUUACUAUGCUAAAUAAUAGAGGUAGUUUAUGGAACAAACAAACUCCCAGAAUUGAAAUGCUAUAAGUAGAUAACUAAAUAAAAAAAAAUCACUUUCAGCAUAACACUGUUCUGAUGUAGAAUAGUGUAAAACAAAGAUCAAUAUUGUUAAAGGACUAUAGUUGCAUAGCUCUCCUCCUCCCCUUAUAAUAGAUACUGUAGAAUAUGUAGUACAAAUGUCUUUGUUUUAGUUGCCUGUAAGGUUUAACUUUUAUGCUUAAACCUAUGUAAGUGUCCACCUAGCACUACUGAAAUGCAUGGAAACAGUGUAAAGGGCAAUAAGUCACCAUGCCCCAUACUGUCCUGCAAAUCCUGCCAACACAAUAGGGGUCUAUUUUGAUCCAUCCUAUGAGGCCCAACAAUGUCCACAACAGUUCAUGCAGUGUUGGAGAGAAAGAAAAUGUUGAUAUAUACUAGAUGAUUACAUAUAUGUAAACAGUCUGAAAAUUAAGAUAUACAUUUACAUAAGGUAUAAAAUUGUCAUUUCCAUGAAUGUUAUGAUAUUUGUAUUUUCAAUUGCAAACCUAAGGGAAUUCUUGCUGGUGGAAAUACAUAGUAAAUUCUUAGGUGGGUGUCAGUAUUUACCGCCACCCUCCUGAGCUAAACUCAUAUGUUCUCUGCUGUAGGUAGUGAUAAACUGGACAUAAACUGGACAUAUUGGAUUUUCUCUUAAGAAUGAACCUUGGAAAUGCCAAAGAAAUAAUUCUGAUUUCUGGGAAAUCUAUGGCAAGAUUUAUAAUAUUAUUUAUUACAGAAAUAGUCACUGAAUCCAUGUGAUUUCUUAAGUAUAUUAGAAUUAUUAAAUUAUAUUGGGAAGACUACAUUGAAUGAGAGGGAUAUUCUAGUAUACAAAACCUGAGAUAAAUGUGGUAGAAAGUAAAAAUCUUUGGUAUAUAGUCAUUAAACCUAUAUACUUUAAUAAAAUGUUCAAUUGAAAACGAAUAUGUGAGUUUUAGAAAUGUGGGAGCACAUUAUCAUAUGCAUAAGGGUGUGGAGAAUGUAGAAUGAGUGUUGUAUUGCUGCUGUGUGUAUUGUCCCUGCAGCCUUCUUUAAAGUUUCUUGUCUGAAGAUGGAAUACCCUCCAAUGCAGCACAAGCAAAGCCUUUUUAAUCACAUUUAUAACUAUAUAAAUAUAACUAUGUUUUUUUAAAUAUUUUUUCCUUUCUUCCCUCCCUUUCUUUAUUCUUUCCUUCCCCCCUUCCUUUCUUCCUUUUUUGUAAAUAAAUAACUUGCAUUGCAACAAAGUCUCAUGUCCUUUCUAGAAGUUAUGGAGUAUAUUCAAUGGUUUGAUUGUUAAAUUUAAUUUGCAUCCAUUUGCAGCUUCGCAUCCAAGUACAAGUUCAUAUUAGUAUCUCAUUGCGGCAGUAGUUUGUCCCAUAAGAACGUACUCCGAUCAUUUAUAACAUGAACACCACUAGGAUCUGUCAAGGAGUGGGUUACAUAGGGCAGUAAGUGAACAGUCACAUCUUGAAAUUGAUGAUUGGAAGCAGGCAAAAUGGACAAUUAAUUGUAAGGAUCAAAGCCACUAUGACAAAGGG